GAUGAAGAACGUAGCGAAAUGCGAUAAGUAAUGUGAAUUGCAGAAUUCAGUGAAUCAUCGAAUCUUUGAACGCACAUUGCGCCCGCCAGUAUUCUGGCGGGCAUGCCUGUUCGAGCGUCAUUUCAACCAUCAAGCCCCCGGCUUGUGUAGGGGACCUGCGGCUGCCGCAGGCCCUGAAAACCAGUGGCGGGCUCGCUAGUCACUCCGAGCGUAGUAGUUACAUCUCGCUCAGGGCGUGCUGCGGGUUCCGGCCGUUAAAAGCCUUAUUUACCCAAGGUUGACCUCGGAUCAGGUAGGAAGACCCGCUGAACUUAAGCAUAUCAAUAAGCGGAGGA
rnacentral:misc_RNA from 1 species